GCGAGAGGCUCUGCUUGUACCACUGACGCUACCAUAGUCCCGAGGCUCUGUCUGGCAAGACUAGAAGCUCUGCACCUAGCAGAUGCCGCCAUAGUCCCGAGGCACCGUCUGGCAAGGUACUUCGGGCAAAUCAACCCAUCUGAAGUGCGAUACAAAAGUGCAACCAGUGGCAUUGCACCGAAGUUGCGAACUCUUCAAGUGCUUUGACAUCUGAAUGCUCCAUGGCUCUUUUUGGUGGUCAACACCCAAGGCAGAAGACUAAAAGACAAGACAUG